GACGAACGCUGGCGGCGUGCUUAACACAUGCAAGUCGAACGGAAAGGCCCUGCUUUUGUGGGGUGCUCGAGUGGCGAACGGGUGAGUAACACGUGAGUAACCUGCCCUUGACUUUGGGAUAACUUCAGGAAACUGGGGCUAAUACCGGAUAGGAGCUCCUGCUGCAUGGUGGGGGUUGGAAAGUUUCGGCGGUUGGGGAUGGACUCGCGGCUUAUCAGCUUGUUGGUGGGGUAGUGGCUUACCAAGGCUUUGACGGGUAGCCGGCCUGAGCGGGUGACCGGCCACAUUGGGACUGAGAGACGGCCCAGACGCCUACGGGAGGCAACAGUGGGGAAUAUUGCACAAUGGGCGGGAGCCUGAGACGACGGCGCCGCGUGCGGGAUGAGGGCCUUCGGGUUGUAAACCGCUUUCGCCUGUGACGAAGCGUGAGUGACGGUAAUGGAUAAAGAAGCACCGGCUAACUACGUG
rnacentral:rRNA from 1 species